GCACACAUGGCUGAGUGGUUUAAGUGUUAGACUUUCACUCUAAGGAUCAGUGGUUCGAGCCCAGAUGCA
rnacentral:tRNA from 1 species